UACGUGGGGUGCAAGCGUUAUCCGGAAUUACUGGGCGUAAAGGGUCCGUCGGCGGCUGAGUAAGUCUUUUGUUUAAGCCUGGGGCUCAACUCCAGAUCAGCAAAAGAAACUACUCAGAUUGAGUCUGUUCGGGGUAACUGGAAUUCUCGGUGGAGGGGUGAAAUCCGUAGAUAUCGAGAGGAACGCCAAUCGCGAAAGCAGGUUACUAGGACAGUACUGACGCUCAGGGACGAAAGCUAGGGUAGCAAAAGGG
rnacentral:rRNA from 1 species